rfam:Onchocerca flexuosa genome assembly, scaffold: OFLC_contig0001277
GAGGUUGAUGAGGUAGUUUAUAAAGCUGCGAGAGUAGAUUAAGCUCGCAGAUUUUAAACUAUCUCGACUGCCUU